CCUCACCUCUUGGUGUGUGUCUUCAGCGGCCCUCCGGAUGGAGACGAGUGCCGAGUGCCGCAACGCUGCCGCGGAUGCUGCCAGCUGCCUCGACAGUUUUCCAGAGAAAUAUGACAGUUGUCAACUCUCACAAAGACUGAGAAUAUGGUUGAGGGAAUCACAGAAUUAUGGAUUUUAGAGUUGGAAAGACCAUCUUGCUUUCAGGAUAACAUCCUUGCCAAAUGGUAUCAAAGUAUGUAAUUUUGCCAAAGGACACCAGUAUUCCUGAUUCUUGGGCUAUCGGACUCAGAUUGUGACUUACAUCAUUGCUCCCCCAACCCCCGCAAUUCUCAGCACUUUGGAGUUGGACAGAAUUACACCAACAGCUUUCCUCGUUCUCCAGCUUCACAGACUGUGGAUCAUGGGACUUAGCCUCUGUAACCAUGUAUGGUAAUCUGGACUCAGAAACAUUAAGAGACUUGUUUAAGACCACAGAGCUAGUAAGAAGCACAGUUGAUAUGG